GGAGGCGUGGCAGAGCGGUUGAACGCGGCGGUCUUGAAAACCGUUAGAGGCGCAAGUCUCUCGAAGGUUCGAAUCCUUCCGCCUCCG
rnacentral:tRNA from 1 species